rnacentral:rRNA from 1 species
GCCAGUAAACAUAGCUCGUUAAAACAUUGAAAGCACUAGUAUCCAACAGAUCACUGAAGUUAAACAACGUUGGCAUUGGUUGAUAUCCGGAUGGGUGACCAUUUGGACAAUCAAUUCUUGCUGACU